rnacentral:rRNA from 1 species
UACGGGGGGAGCAAGCGUUGUUCGGAUUUACUGGGCGUAAAGGGCGCGUAGGCGGCCAGUGCAAGUCAGUUGUGAAAUCUCCGAGCUUAACUCGGAAAGGUCAACUGAUACUGCUCGGCUAGAGUGCGGAAGGGGCAACUGGAAUUCUUGGUGUAGUGGUGAAAUGCGUAGAUAUCAAGAGGAACACCUGCGGCGAAGGCGGGUUGCUGGGCCGACACUGACGCUGAAGCGCGAAAGCUAGGGGAGCGAACGGG